GUGGGUAUAGCGCAGUUGGUUAGAGCGCCAGAUUGUGGAUCUGGAGGUCGUGGGUUCAAAUCCCAUUACCCACC
rnacentral:tRNA from 1 species